GAACCCGCUAUAUAUAUUGAUAUACCUUCCAGUGACUCGUGGUUGCCGCGUCGGAACUCAUUAGGCACAACUCACCUCAUCUCCCCAAGAAACAGGAGAUCUUCCAUCAGUAAAAUCCGAUUGUAGAAGACAAACGUUUUACAAACUCUUGGACUCCCGAAUUUUGAGUAUCCUACUUUCACGCAAUUCACAGGGUUCAACAGGCAAUCGAUAUUUCACGAUCAAGGGUGUAGUCUUAUUUGUAGUAGCGGUCUUUAUAUAUCGUAUUAACAAUAGAAAGAUGGUCGAAAGAAAAAAUCAUUUAUUUGACAGGGCUUCUUCCAAUACCUAUGAAUUCCAUUGGACCCAGAAAUGAGAAAUUGGAAGAAUCUUUUGGGUCUUCCAAUAUCAAUAGGUUGAUUCUUUCACUCAAAUUGAAUGACACUUUUUGAUGUCUUCCUAA